rnacentral:misc_RNA from 1 species
GUUCACUUCUUCUUGCGGUAUUCGGCAAUCCCCCAAUAGUGUCGUCCGAACAGCAAGAAGCUAUGCCAAAUGAAAAGUCUUUCAGGUCACCGAAUAUUCAGAAACCGCCAUGGUCUGUGCGUUCUAAAGUCGUUAUUCAUGGAAUCUGGGCAAUAGCAAUAUGCUGUAAAGGAUUUGCUUAUUUCUUACCAAUGGUUAUAUUACCAAAACACUUGAUAGACCUUGGUUAUAAGGAAGUCGACGCAGUGAAAGUUAUAUCAGUAUUUGGGACCGUAGGUGCGAUUGGACAGGCGUUUGCCUCAUUGGUUGGGGAUUAUGUGAAGGGAUAUAUUAUGGUGGCGAACCUUGUGGCGGCUACGAUGCUCACUGUGAAUAAUAUUAUUGCAGCAUAUUCGACAUCUUUGACUGCUGUUUAUGUAUAUUGUGCUGGUGGUCUCGGGGUUUUUUCUUGGUCCAUACCUUGCCGGGUAUUAUGCUGUCAACAAUGAAAUCAUGGACGGAGAGAAUAUCUAUACGUUAUUCUUGACAAUGCGUUUGAGCAAAGGAGUCGGAGCUACCGUGGGACCCUACUUGGCAGGACAUAUCCGUGACGUCACAGGCAGCUACCAGGCAGUGUUCCUGUCCAUUGCGUCAUGUUUUGGCAUGUUUAUUUUGGCAACGUUUUUACUCAUAUGCAACAAGAAGUGGAGAUAUUUGAAGUCUUGAUUGAUGAACGAUAGCAAUGAAUGUGACUAAAA